rnacentral:rRNA from 1 species
UACGAAGGGGGCUAGCGUUGUUCGGAAUUACUGGGCGUAAAGCGCGCGUAGGCGGUUUUGCAAGCCAGAGGUGAAAUGCCUGAGCUCAACUUAGGAAUUGCCUUUGGGACUGCGAGGCUUUGAGGACUGGAGAGGUGAGUGGAAUUCCCAGUGUAGAGGUGAAAUUCGUAGAUAUUGGGAAGAACACCGGUGGCGAAGGCGGCUCACUGGCCAGUUUCUGACGCUGCAGCGCGAA